CAGUCGCCACGGUAAUACGAAGGGGGCUAGCGUUGUUCGGAUUUACUGGGCGUAAAGCGCACGUAGGCGGACUUUUAAGUCAGGGGUGAAAUCCCGGGGCUCAACCCCGGAACUGCCUUUGAUACUGGAAGUCUUGAGUAUGGUAGAGGUGAGUGGAAUUCCGAGUGUAGAGGUGAAAUUCGUAGAUAUUCGGAAGAACACCAGUGGCGAAGGCGACUGACUGGACAAGUAUUGACGCUGAGGUGCGAAAGCGUGGGGAGCAAACAGGAUUAGAUACCCGUGUAGUCCCUGUCUCUUAUAC
rnacentral:rRNA from 1 species